GUGGAAACAGCGUCGAUGGCGUGUGUGUUUGGGGGUGAAGGGGAUGUUCACUGACUGCACAUACGUUUGGGGUCUAUGACUCUCACAGGGUCUGUGGUUUGACAGCGGUCCCCUGUGUAUCCUGGAACGCACCUGGAUACUGUAUGGCUUGGCUUCCUCCUUCAAUUUGCUUAGACUGGAAGAGGACUCUUCGUGGGACUUUUUCUUCUGUUUUAUCAUCCAGGUCACAUGGCCCCUGAUGGAUGGCAGAAAUGGAAAGAGAUGUACAGUCCCAGAGGAACGCUGCCGUCUGACUGCGACUGCAUUCACAGUACAGAGAGAGACAGAGAGAAGCUCCUCUUGACUGCAGUGCUUACUGAUGAGAACAGAGACCUGACUUCAGCACUCGGGUUUGUGCUUAUUCACCGAAUUGGACAGUAAGACCAUGAAUACCCCGGAGUGUGCUGUCAGAGAGAGUCAUGCACGCAAAAAACCUUUGCUAGCAGUAUGUGAUCUGAAAUGAGGAAGCAAAGUCCUCACUGCCUUUAAUGCUUUAGUUUAAUCUAACGUAAAUUAAUGUUUCAGUUAUGCUUUAUCUUACCACAUCUUUCAGGUUAAAUAAAUAAAUGUUGCCUACACUUUCAAAAAUCCAA